rnacentral:rRNA from 1 species
AAUGAACGUUGGCGGCGUGGAUUAGGCAUGCAAGUCGCGCGGGUGUAGCAAUACACCAGCGGCGUAAGGGACAGUAAUGUAUAGGUACCUGCCCUCGGGACGGGGAUAGCGGUGGGAAACUGCCGGUAAUACCCGAUGACGUCUUCGGACCAAAGGUGUGAGUCCGCCCGGGGAUGGGCCUGUAUCCUAUUAGCUUGUUGGCGGGGUAACGGCCCACCAAGGCGAUGAUGGGUAGCAGGUGUGAGAGCACGACCUGCGUCAUUGGGACUGAGACACUGCCCAGACACCUACGGGUGGCUGCAGUCGAGAAUCUUCGGCAAUGGGCGCAAGCCUGACCGAGCGACGCCGCGUGCGGGAUGAAGGCCUUCGGGUUGUAAACCGCUGUCAGUGGGGAGGAAGGCUCCGUGAAGAACGGGGUUUGACCUAUCCGCAGAGGAAGGACGGGCUAAGUUCGUGCCAGCAGCCGCAGUAAUAC